rnacentral:lncRNA from 1 species
GAAUAAAACUGCAGGUCGGCCUUGGCUCUGCUUGCGGCGGCGCGGCGCUGCAUGCAGCUCUCCGGCGCGGGUCUUAGGGGAAACGGCGGGGCUGACGGAGGCCGGGAAUGGGCUGAUCUACCAAUGGCCGACCGGAUCCGUUGGGGAACGACGGCGGUCGACGAGUUGCGAGGCGGCGAGGGCAUCCAUGGCGGGGCUGCAGCAGCCUUUGCUCAGUUCCUGACAGGGGAAAAACAGGAAGAGAGGAGAAGGAUUAGAUGAGGAAGGAGAGGGAAGGAGAGGUCGCAAGGAAGGAGCACGCGCGGGAACUCGAUCUCACCGGCGUGGUUCGGCAUGAGGCGGAGCGGACGGGAGGCUGCCGGAGUUGACGGCCCUGACGGUUGCUGUUGCCUGAAGCAAACAAGACACACAGGAGGUUUCAGAUAAGAAGGAAAGAGAGGGCAGGGAAGAAGAAAGAUAGAGAGAGGGCAGGGCACGACGCUCCCCUGCUAGACCGACGAGGCUGGGCAGCGGUGCUCGCCGGCGACAGUCCGGCGCUUGCACGGGCAUCCACGGUGGCUAGCUCCAGCAGCUAGGGGAGGGAGUCAGGGAGGAGCUCGGGUACGAGCUCGUGCUCAUGCGCGGGAGGCCGGCGCAGGGCUGCUGCAAGUGGAUCAGGAGGGGCUCAAUGGUUGGGGGAUUGGAUCUGGAGUGGAUCCCGAUGAAGACAGUGGCGGCGGACAACGGAUGGAUGGG